rnacentral:rRNA from 1 species
UGGGGAAUAUUGGACAAUGGGGGAAACCCUGAUCCAGCCAUGCCGCGUGUGUGAAGAAGGUCUUAGGAUUGUAAAGCACUUUAAGUUGGGAGGAAGGGCAGUUAACUAAUAUUUGACUGUUUUGACGUUACCGACAGAAUAAGCACCGGCUAACUUCGUGCCAGCAGCCGCGGUAAUACGAAGGGUGCAAGCGUUAAUCGGAAUUACUGGGCGUAAAGCGCGCGUAGGUGGUUCGUUAAGUUAGGAGUGAAAGCCCCGGGCUCAACCUGGGAAUUGCUUCUAAAACUGGCGAGCUAGAGUAUGGUAGAGGGUGGUGGAAUUUCCUGUGUAGCGGUGAAAUGCGUAGAUAUAGGAAGGAACAUCAGUGGCGAAGGCGACCACCUGGACUGAUACUGACACUGAGGUGCGAAAGCGUGGGGAGCAAACA